rnacentral:tRNA from 1 species
UUUAAAAUGGCAGAUUAGUGCAUUAGGGUUAAGUUCUAUAAAUGAGAUAUUUCUCUUUUAAAA